rnacentral:misc_RNA from 1 species
UUUCCGUAGGUGAACCUGCGGAAGGAUCAUUAUCGUACAAAAUGUCAGGGGCAUGCGAGGGCGGUCCCUGACCCCAAAGUCUUGCACGCCCGAGUGUGUCCUCUUGCAUAGUAAUCCAUCUCGCCCUUUGUGCAUCACCGCGUGGGCACCCCACGGGAUCAUCUCGCAGGGGGGCUCGCGUUUUCACACAAACACCCCUUUUAAAAGAGUAGAAUGACCACAUUUAUACAAUCAAUACAACUUUCAACAACGGAUCUCUUGGCUCUC